UCAACGCCGGCUGGCAUAAAAGGCGGUGCACACACCAUACUUUACCAUAGAUCGCACAGUGUUCCUCGAAGUAAACAUUGCAAGAUUGAACCAUGGACCUAAAGAAAAUGAAGUACCUCGCUUUGUUGCUGAUGGUUUUGUGUCUGGCCAAGGCAUUCAGUAUCGAGAGCGAAGAAGACCCCGAGCUGGAAAUAGAGGAACCUGUCGCCACCAUGAACGAUGAACCUAAUCCUGCGAUACUAAACGAGGGAGAAAACGGUAAG